rfam:Biomphalaria glabrata isolate BB02 unplaced genomic scaffold LGTN_random_Scaffold4072, whole genome shotgun sequence.
UGGCUGAGUGUUAAAGCACUUGGCUUCUGAACCGGUGGUCCCAGGUUCGAAUCCUGG